GAUGAACGCUGGCGGCGUGCCUAAUACAUGCAAGUCGAGCGAACAGAUAAGGAGCUUGCUCCUUUGACGUUAGCGGCGGACGGGUGAGUAACACGUGGAUAACCUACCUAUAAGACUGGGAUAACUUCGGGAAACCGGAGCUAAUACCGGAUAACAUAUUGAACCGCAUGGUUCAAUAGUGAAAGGCGGCUUUGCUGUCACUUAUAGAUGGAUCCGCGCCGUAUUAGCUAGUUGGUAAGGUAACGGCUUUCCAAGGCAACGAUACGUAGCCGACCUGAGAGGGUGAUCGGCCACACUGGAACUGAGACACGGUCCAGACUCCUACGGGAGGCAGCAGUGGGGAAUCUUCCGCAAUGGGCGAAAGCCUGACGGAGCAACGCCGCGUGAGUGAUGAAGGUCUUCGGAUCGUAAAACUCUGUUAUCAGGGAAGAACAAAUGUGUAAGUAACUGUGCACAUCUUGACGGUACCUGAUCAGAAAGCCACGGCUAACUACGUGCCAGCCGCCGCCGUAA
rnacentral:rRNA from 1 species